rnacentral:rRNA from 1 species
UGCCGACCAGCUAGCCCACCUUAACAAAAACAACAACUCAAUAUAAAUAACCCCAAAUACACAAACUCCUCCUAAAAACAAACCAUUUUUCCCCCUUAGUAUGGGCGACAGAAAAGGAACUAUUGGAGCGAUAGAGAAAGUACCGCAAGGGAACGCUGAAAGAGAAAUGAAAUAACCCAGUAAAGCUUAGAAAAGCAGAGAUUCUACCUCGUACCUUUUGCAUCAUGAUUUAGCCAGUAAUACCCAAGCAAAGAGAACUUUAGUUUGGGCCCCCGAAACUAGGUGAGCUACUCCAAGACAGCCUAUCAAUAGGGCAAACCCGUCUCUGUGGCAAAAGAGUGGGAAGAGCUUUGAGUAGAGGUGACAGACCUACCGAACCUAGUUAUAGCUGGUUGCCUGAGAAUUGGAUAGGAGUUCAGCCUCCAGACUUCUCCAUUCGCCAUGGUCUUACCCCUACCGAUACUCAAAAGAAGUCUAGAGAGUUAAUCAAAGGGGGUACAGCCCCUUUGAGACAAGAUACAACUUUCCCAGGAGGGUAAAGAUCAUAUUUACCCAAGGUAAUAAUGCCCAGGUGGGCCUAAAAGCAGCCACCCUAAUAGAAAGCGUUAAAGCUCAAGCAUUACACCUCCCCACAUAUUUAGAUAACCAUAUCCUAACCCCCUAAUAUUAUCAGGCCAUCUCAUGCAAACAUGAGAGUGCACAUGCUAAUAUGAGUAACAAGAGAGCCCCGUCUCUCUCCUUGCACACGUGUAAAUCGGAACGAACCCCCACCGAAACUUAACGGCCCCAAACAAAGAGGGUAAUGAACAACAAGUAAGCAACCAGAAAAUCAUCCAAUAAACAACCGUUAACCCCACACUGGUGUGCCCCUAAGGAAAGACUAAAAGAAAAAGAAAGGAACUCGGCAAACACAUCAAGGCCUCGCCUGUUUACCAAAAACAUCGCCUCUUGCAAAAUCAAAGAAUAAGAGGUCCAGCCUGCCCUGUGACUAUAUGUUUAACGGCCGCGGUAUUUUAACCGUGCGAAGGUAGCGCAAUCACUUGUCUUUUAAAUGGAGACCUGUAUGAAUGGCAUUACGAGGGCUUAACUGUCUCCUUUUUCAAGUCAGUGAAAUUGAUCUCCCCGUGCAGAAGCGGGGAUAUAUCCAUAAGACGAGAAGACCCUAUGGAGCUUUAGACACCAAGGCAUAUCAUGUUAAACACCCCUAAACAAAGGACUAAACCAAAUGAACAAUGCCCCCAUGUCUUUGGUUGGGGCGACCGCGGGGAAAUAAAGAACCCCCACGUGGAAUGGGAGUACUACCUCCUACAACCAAGAGCUGCAGCUCUAAUAAACAGAAUUUCUGACCAAUAAGAUCCGGCAACGCCGAUCAACGGACCGAGUUACCCUAGGGAUAACAGCGCAAUCCCCUUUUAGAGCCCAUAUCGACAAGGGGGUUUACGACCUCGAUGUUGGAUCAGGACAUCCUAAUGGUGCAGCCGCUGUUAAGGGUUCGUUUGUUCAACGAUUAAAGUCCUACGUGAUCUGAGUUCAGACCGGAGUAAUCCAGGUCAGUUUCUAUCUAUGAUAUGUUCUUUUCUAGUACGAAAGGACCGAAAAGAAGAGGCCAAUGCUUCAAGCACGCCUCACCCCUCCUAUUGAAAACAACUAAAAUAGGCAAAAGGGCAUACCCCCUUACGCCCAAGAUAAUGGCAU